rnacentral:rRNA from 1 species
AGAGUUUGAUCCUGGCUCAGAAUCAACGCUGGCGGCGUGCCUCAGACAUGCAAGUCGAACGUGAAAGUUCCCUUCGGGGAGCGAGUAAAGUGGCGCACGGGUGAGUAACACGUGGGUAAUUUACCUCCAAGUGGGGAAUAGCUCGGGGAAACCCGGAUUAAUACCGCAUAAUACCGAAAGGUCAAAGCUUUAUGUGCUUGGAGAGAAGCCCGCGGCAGAUUAGCUAGUUGGUAAGGUAAUGGCUUACCAAGGCGACGAUCUGUAUCCGGUCUAAGAGGACGGUCGGACACACUGACACUGAAUAACGGGUCAGACUCCUACGGGAGGCAGCAGUCGGGAAUUUUGGGCAAUGGGCGAAAGCCUGACCCAGCAACGCCGCGUGAAGGAUGAAGUCCCUCGGGAUGUAAACUUCGAAAGAAUAGGAAGAAUCAAUGACGGUACUAUUUUUAAGCCCCGGCUAACUCCGUGCCAGCCGCCGCGGUAAUAC